rnacentral:rRNA from 1 species
CUAGCGACUUCAGAGUUUGAUCCUGGCUCAGGAUGAACGCUAGCGGCAGGCUUAACACAUGCAAGUCGAGGGGCAGCAUGAGGGUUAGCAAUAACCCUUGAUGGCGACCGGCGCAAGGGUGCGUAACGCGUGAGCAACUUGCCCGUUUCAGGGGGAUAACCGGUGGAAACGCCGACUAAUACCCCAUGGUGAUGGUUUGAGGCAUCUCUUUCCAUCUAAAGAAUUUCGGAAACGGAUAGGCUCGCGUGACAUUAGCUAGAUGGCGGGGUAACGGCCCACCAUGGCGACGAUGUCUAGGGGUUCUGAGAGGAAGGUCCCCCACACUGGAACUGAGACACGGUCCAG